rnacentral:rRNA from 1 species
GCAGACGGCUCAGUAACACGUAGUCAAUCUAACCUAUGGACGAGGAUAACCUCGGGAAACUGAGAAUAAUACUCGAUAGAUCAUUAUGCCUGGAACGGUUUAUGGUUCAAAUGAAUUUCGCCAUAGGGUGGGACUGCGGUCUAUCAGCUUGUUGGUGAGGUAAUGGCCCACCAAGGCUAUUACAGAUACGGGCUCUGAGAGGAGAAGCCCGGAGAUGGGUACUGAGACACGGACCCAGGCCCUAUGGGGCGCAGCAGGCGAGAAAACUUUGCAAUGUGCGAAAGCACGACAAGGUUAAUCCGAGUGAUUCCUGCUAAAGGAAUCUUUUGUUAGUCAUAAUACCACUAAUGAAUAAGGGGUGGGCAAGUUCUGGUGUCAGCCGCCGCGGUAAAACCAGCACCUCAAGUGGUCAGGAUGAUUAUUGGGCCUAAAGCAUCCGUAGCCUGCUCUGUAAGUUUUCGGUUAAAUCUAUGUGCUCAACACAUAGGCUGCCGAAAAUACUGCAGAGCUAGGGAGUGGGAGAGGUAGACGGUACUCCGUAGGAAGGGGUAAAAUCCUUUGAUCUAUGGAUGACCACCUGUGGCG